rnacentral:lncRNA from 10 species
UAGUAUCGCGAGAUCAGGAAGGUGGCCGAGUGUGUCGCCGCGGCCAUCAGGGGGGUUAUAGCCAUGUGACUGAUCUUCGUCCAAGAAUAUGUAAAGAAAAAGUGUUGAGUUGGCUUUUAGGGCUAGAGCAAUGUAUCUUAGGCUCACUUAAGGAAGCUGUAGAGAUGAGCCCAAGGAGGGAAACCAGAAGAGCCCCCCAGGCUCACCAGUUGUUUGUUGGCUCCCUACAAACAUGUCAUUCAAGUGGCUAAUCUUACAACAGCACAAAUUCAUCUAACCAGAGAUACUCUAUUAUAGCAAAGAAGAAAGAUAAUUUCAUUGAGCCAUCCUGUUUUACAGUAUUGAAUUAUUACCACAAGGUACCAACCAUAUAUGCAUACUUAAUAGGGUAUUUUGUCAAAACUAUGCAUGAAGGUCAUUUGUUUGAGAUGUCAGAACAUUUUCCCGUGAGAAGAUCUCAUUGGGCAUUGAAACAGAACCACAUGCUCUUCAGACCAGCAACCGCGACUACCAAAUACUCCUCUGUCAACUCUACUUGACACCCAACAGAAUCCCUUCAAAGCCUCGUGGUCUGACACCCUAUGCUACGUGACUUGUGACCCAUCCAUUUGUCAUGUUCUUCGGGAAUGUGGCUAAGGGGCUAAGAUGUGACUUGAAAAGAAAGGUAGAACAAGAUCAUCUCAAAUUUAUUAUCAAGGAAUAGUUCAGAAAACGACUUCAGACCACAGAGACAGCAGAACAGAUGGUCCGGCAUGGAUAGAGCAUCAGACACUCACAGACUGUGCCAACAAGAGCCAUCGAGUCAAAACAGCCAAAGGAAGGAGGGUCAUGGAAUGGGUUCUCUCACACCAAACUGAUGCCCAGAGGCCCUCAGCAUGAAUAACAAAGGCAACCAGACCCACAAGCCAUACUGAGUGGAUACAAAACCUAUACCUAGGCUGACAUCCCAAAUGUGUGUGGCAAGUUAGAUGAUGAUGGCACAAAAGACAGAACACCUUGCUUCUGGCCAUUGUCAGCUCUUGGAAGAGAGCACACUUUUAGAGGAGCAGCUGCAAGGAGCCUGAGAACAAAACUGGAAAUGUCUGUUAUGAAAGCCUUCACAGGAAAUUCUGCAAGUGGCAACGUGGGUCCAUUCCGUGUGUGUCACUAGAGCUGGCGCAAGCCCAUGGCCAUGGUGAGGCAGCGUUUCCACUGGAACUAAUCUGAUACCUGCACCAGCUCUUGCAACUGUGCAGUGUUCCCACUGCAAACUACGGAUGGGGUAAAAGACUGCUCACCUCCUAUUUCUCAUCUAAUCUCACACACUCUGUUUGAUGAGGCUAUGGAGAAACAGGUCUUCUCAUACACUAAAGGUGGGAGUACAAACAAUUCAAGCCCUGUGCAGGACAAUUAGGCAAUACCUAUCAAAAUUAUACAUGAUUUUUCCUGCUGACCCAGCAAUUCCACUUCUGGGAAUAAUUGACAGAUAUAGGUGCAUAUGUACAAAAUGAUGGAAAGCUCUCUGGUAUAUAUUAGUAAGUGAUAAAACAAGGUGUAAAAUAGUGUAUAUAUGGCUACUACCUUUUGUUUUAAAAAUGGGGGAAAAUGGUGGAGCUUGCGGUGAGCCGAGAUCGUGCCACUGCACUCCAGCCUGGGCGACAGAGCGAGACUCCGUCUCAAAAAAAAAACAGGGUGGGGUGGGGGGGAAAUAAUAGUACAUACUCAUAUUUACCUGUAUCUAUAUAAAACACACUAUCAAGGAUUCACAAGAAACUAAUACAAAUGAUCACCUUAUAGAUGGUAUGUAUUGGGGGAUACUGAGGUGAGCAGGGUAUAAGUGGGGCAAGACUUUUCAGUGUAAACUUCUUUUAAAUUUUAUUUUGAUUUUUGAAUAAUGUAAAUUAACUGUCAAAUAAUUAAAUUAAAAAUAACCAAUUUAUUAACAAAA